rnacentral:rRNA from 1 species
GAUGAACGCUGGCGGCGUGCCUAAUACAUGCAAGUCGAGCGAACGGACGAGACUUUUGCUUGGCUGAUGUGAGGGGCGGACGUGUGAGUCACAGGAGUAUACCCCCCCGAUAAGACUGAUAUCACUACGGGAAAGCGGAGAUAACACCGUAUGAUAUUUUGAACCACAGGGUUCAUAGGAGAAAUACGUUGUUGCUGUCACUAAUCGAGGGAUCCUGGCUGCAUGAGUUAGUUGGUAGGGUAACGGCUUACCAAGGCGACGAUGCAUAGCCGACCUGCCAGGGUGAUCGGCCACACUGGAACGGAGACACGGUCCAGACUCCUACGGGAGGCAGCAGUAGGGAAUGUUCCGCAAUGGGCGAAAGCCUGACGCAGCAACGCCGCGUGAGUGAUGAAGGUCUUCGGAUCGUAAAACUCUGUUAUUAGGGAAGAACAGAUGUGUAAUUAGAUGUGCACAUCUUGACGGUACCUAGUCAGAAAGCAACGGCUAACUACGUG